UUAACGAUUGUAAUAGUACUCAGACGCGGCAGUAACAGCAGUAUAGUUGGGUCCCUGGCGGGCGCGCACCAGCGGGGGCCGGUGGCUACCAUAGCGGCCCGCCAAAGCAACACGGUAUAGUAAACAGUGGGUGGGAGGUCGGCCCCGGAGGGCACGAGCUCGGUAAUGAUCCUUCCGCAGGUUCACCUACGGAAA
rnacentral:misc_RNA from 1 species